rnacentral:lncRNA from 1 species
AAAGUUCUAUAUGCAACAGCGGAUUCCCGGAAAUGAAGAGUCCAACUUCUGCUGAUAAUGGUGCGGGAAUCCCACCUCUUCCUCCUACCUCUAACCAAUUCUCGGCUCGUGGUCGUAUGGGUGUCCGGUCAAGGUACGUGAUUUUGGCGUGAUAAUUAUUUUCAGAUGAUGUGAUUUGACCAGUAGACCUAUAAAAAAUAAGUGGACCAGUAUAUGCUAUUAGUAAUUACCCCAAUCCAAUGUAACCUUUCGCGUUGCUUAAGCGAAACAACCCUUGUUUACUUGGUCUGAUUCUGAAAGAGGAUUUUAAAUUAGUGAGAGUAAAUACUAGAUAAGCUCCUAUACGUCAAAUUAACAACUUUUAAUGUUUAUUUUCUCGGUGGCUUUAUGAUCAAAUUGAACUGACUGGCUCGUUUAACAUAAAGACUUAAUCCUCAUCAUUGGAAGUGAUGCAGAAGCAGUACUUUUAUUACUACUACCAUGUCGUAGAAAGUUUGUUUAGGUUCAUAAAAUAGGUCACUGAAAGAUCACAAAUGUGUGUGUCGCUCUCUCUGACACAACUCAAAAUAGAGAAACCUGACUUGCUUCUCUUCCUUCUUUUGGCAGGUACGUCGACACAUUCAACAAAGGUGGUGGUACCCCAACAAAUCUAUUCCAGUCACCUUCUGUUCCUUCCAUAAAGCCCGCUAAUGCCAAUGCCAAGUUUUUUGUUCCCACCCCGAUGACCCCCGUUGAAGAGACGGGGAACGGUACUACUAAUGAGCAAGAAACUUCAAGUAAUAGCGAGAGUGAUUCAGUCCCUGCUCUUAAUGGAUCGUUCCAUUUCCCUGUACCAACGUCAAGCGACCCGCCUAUGCAAAGAUUUGCAAGCAUGGACAACCUCUCCAAUAAAGGAGCUGGCACGGGCUCUCCAUCAGCUGGCUCUCGAUCAGUUAACUCCCGGCGAACUGCAUCAUGGAGUGGAAGCUUUCCUGAUGCUUGUUCCUCAUCUGAAGUAAAACCACGGGGCGCUGGAUUGAGUAUGUCUCCGUUGUCAUUUGUGCCUAGCGAUGCUAAUUCAAUGCAUUCCUCUACGAAUGGUGGUAGUUUCAGCGAUGACCUUCACGAAGUAGACCUGUGACGCAAACAAGAUGUAUAUACCAAGUUUUGCUCGUCGUCCUUGUAUCCUACUCGGAAUCUCUUCACUCUGGUGGUAAGCAGUGAAGUGUGGUCAAUGAAGACGGAAAAUGCUUCCCCGUCUUCUCACACCACAAUAUACCUUUUUUCUCUCCUCUUUUUGUAAGAUCAGUUGUAUGUUGAAAUCAAUUUGCUUAUUUUAGCUGUUUACUUACCUGUAGGGAUAUAGAUUUUUACUUAUUUUAUCCCUCUGAGUACCUGUUGUUUCAGAGACUUUGUUGUUACAACACAAGUAAAGUGAUCUAGAGAAACAUUGUACAGUUGAAAAUUCACCAUUCAUUAAGGAAAAAGGAAAUCUCGUUUGAUAAAAUUGUGAACCAAGUUAAGAAAAUAACAAUAUGCAAGUAGUAUUCAAUAUUCAAGAACAACAUACAAAAUUCUCUUUUUUUCAAAUUUUUUCUUGUAUUGUAUUUCAUGUUCAAGAAAGUGCAAGAGUUUGAAACAACCUUUGUGUAUCUUGAAGGACAUGGCAAUUCAAAUAUUCCCUCUUAACGGCAGCGUAUCGAUGAAUCUCUCUCUCCCUGUGUAUCUCCCACACUAAAUUGAACAAUUUUUUCCCAAUUCAAAGGACACAAAAGCAUCAAUAGCAGCAUAUUCAACUUGUUCAUGCACCAAUUCCUCAGCGGGAAUCCCACCUCUUCCUCCUACCUCUAACCAAUUCUCGGCUCGUGGUCGUAUGGGUGUCCGGUCAAGGUACGUGAUUUUGGCGUGAUAAUUAUUUUCAGAUGAUGUGAUUUGACCAGUAGACCUAUAAAAAAUAAGUGGACCAGUAUAUGCUAUUAGUAAUUACCCCAAUCCA